rnacentral:rRNA from 1 species
CGGGAAAAGGGGGGGAGGUUUAUUUGCAGUCGAGCGAACGGACGAGAGUGCUUGCACUCUCUGAUGUUAGCGGCGGACGGGGGAGUAACACGUGGGUAACCUACCUAUAAGACUGGGAUAACUUCGGGAAACCGGAGCUAAUACCGGAUAAUAUUUAGCUUCGCAUGAAGCAAUAGUGAAAGACGGUUCUGCUGUCACUUAUAGAUGGACCCGCGGUGUAUUAGCUAGUUGGUGAGGUAACGGCUCACCAAGGCAACGAUACAUAGCCGACCUGAGAGGGUGAUCGGCCACACUGGGACUGAAACACGGCCCAAACUCCUACGGGAGGCAGCAGUAGGGAAUCUUCCGCAAUGGACGAAAGUCUGACGGAGCAACGCCGCGUGAGUGAAGAAGGUUUUCGGAUCGUAAAACUCUGUUGUAAGGGAAAAACAAGUACGUUAGUAACUGAACGUACCUUGACGGUACCUUACCAAAAAGCCACGGCUAACUACGUGCCAGCAGCCGCGGUAAUACGUAGGUGGCAAGCGUUAUCCGGAAUUAUUGGGCGUAAAGCGCGCGUAGGCGGUCUCUUAAGUCUGAUGUGAAAGCCCCCGGCUCAACCGGGGAGGGUCAUUGAAAACUGGAAAACUUGAGUGCAGAAAAGGAGAGUGGAAUUCCAUGUGUAGCGGUGAAAUGCGCAAAGAUAUGGAGGACCACCAGUGGCGAAGGCGGCUCUCUGGUCUGUAACUGACGCUGAGGUGCGAAAGCGUGGGGAUCAAACAGGAUUAGAUACCCUGGUAGCCCACGCCGUAAACGAUGAGUGCUAAGUGUUGGGGGGGUUUCCCCCCCUCAGUGCUGCAGCUAACGCAUUAAGCACCUCCGCCUGGGGAGUACGGUCGCAAAACUGAAACUCAAAGGAUUUGACGGGGAACCCGCCACAAGCGGGGGAGCAAGUGUUUAAUUUCGAAGCAACGCGAAAGAACCCUUACCAAAUCUUGAAAUCCUUUUGACAACUCUAGGAGAUAAGAGCUUUCCCCCUUCGGGGGAAAAAGGGGAACAGGUGUUGCAUGGUUGUCGUCAGCCUCCGUGCCGAUGAAGAUGUUGAGUUAGGUCCCGCAACGAGCGCCAACUCUUUAUCUUUAGCUGGCCAUCAUUAGGGUGCACUCUGCGAGAUCUGUUGCUCUCGAGUA